CAGUCGCCGCGGUAAGACGAACCGUGCGAACGUUAUUCGGAAUCACUGGGCUUAAAGCGCGUGUAGGCGGGAGGGCACGUCCGUCGCUGAAAUCCCCCGGCUCAACCGGGGAACGGGCGCGGAUACGACUCUUCUGGAGGAACGUAGGGGGACCUGGAACUUCCGGUGGAGCGGUGAAAUGCGUUGAGAUCGGAAGGAACGCCCGUGGCGAAAGCGAGGUCCUGGACGUUUACUGACGCUGAGACGCGAAAGCCAGGGGAGCGAACGGGAUUAGAUACCCGGGUAGUCCCUGUCUCUUAUA
rnacentral:rRNA from 1 species